rnacentral:rRNA from 1 species
UGAUCCUGGCUCAGAGCGAACGUUAGCGGCGCGCCUAACACAUGCAAGUCGCACGAGAAAGGGGCAACCCCCGGUACAGUGGCGCACGGGUGAGUAACACGUGGGUGAUCUGCCCAGAAGAAGGGGAUAACCUCUCGAAAGGGGGGCUAAUACCGCAUAGGACCACCGGGGCUUUGGCUCUGUGGUGAAAGGGGGCCUCUGUUUACAAGCUCCUGCUUCUGGAUGAGCCCGCGUCCCAUCAGCUAGUUGGUAGGGUAAUGGCCUACCAAGGCUACGACGGGUAGCUGGUCUAAGAGGAUGGCCAGCCACACUGGAACUGAGACACGGUCCAGACUCCUACGGGAGGCAGCAGUGGGGAAUCUUGCGCAAUGGCGAAAGCCUGACGCAGCGACGCCGCGUGGGUGACGAAGGCCUCGG